GCCGGCGCGUGGCGCACGGCCGGCGACGCGAUCGAGUCGGUGACGCGGUCGGUCCGCGCCGACCUGGCGCGGCUGCUGCCCCGGUUCCGCAGCACCGGCGCC
rnacentral:tRNA from 1 species